GACGAACGCUGGCGGCGUGCUUAACACAUGCAAGUCGAACGGAAAGGCCCUGCUUUUGUGGGGUGCUCGAGUGGCGAACGGGUGAGUAACACGUGAGUAACCUGCCCUUGACUUUGGGAUAACUUCAGGAAACUGGGGCUAAUACCGGAUAGGAGCUCCUGCUGCAUGGUGUGGGUUGGAAAGUUUCGGCGGUUGGGGCUGGACUCGCGGCUUAUCAGCUUGUUGGUGGGGUAGUGGCUUACCAAGGCUUUGACGGGUAGCCGGCCUGGGAGGGUGACCGGCGACAAUGGGACUGAGAUACGGCCCAGACUCCUACGGGAGGCAGCAGUGGGGAAUAUUGCAGAAUGAGCGGAAGCCUGAUGCAGCAACGCCGCGUGCGGGAUGACGGCCUUCGGGUUGUAAACAGCUUUCGACUGUGACGAAGCGUGAGUGACGGUAAUGGGUAAAGAAGCACCGGCUAACUACGUG
rnacentral:rRNA from 1 species